GAUGAACGCUGGCGGCGUGCCUAAUACAUGCAAGUCGAGCGAACGGACGAGAAGCUUGCUUCUCUGAUGUUAGCGGCGGACGGGUGAGCAACACGUGGAUAACCUACCUAUAAGACUGGGAUAACUUCGGGAAACCGGAGCUAAUACCGGAUAAUAUUUUGAACCGCAUGGUUCAAAAGUGAAAGACGGUCUUGCUGUCACUUAUAGAUGGAUCCGCGCUGCAUUAGCUAGUUGGUAAGGUAACGGCUUACCAAGGCAACGAUGCAUAGCCGACCUGAGAGGGUGAUCGACCACACUGGAACUGAGACACGGUCCAGACUCCUACGGGAGGCAGCAGUAGGGAAUCUUCCGCAAUGGGCGAAAGCCUGACGGAGCAACGCCGCGUGAGUGAUGAAGGUCUUCGGAUCGUAAAACUCUGUUAUUAGGGAAGAACAUAUGUGUAAGUAACUGUGCACAUCUUGACGGUACCUAAUCAGAAAGCCACGGCUAACUACGUG
rnacentral:rRNA from 1 species